rnacentral:lncRNA from 1 species
GUGAUUUGCAAGGCAGUAGGGCUAGGAAGGGUCUGAAGUCCCCUGCCAGGGCAGGCAUUAACCCUUCAGUUGUUGUAUCAUGGGAUGAUCCAGGGAGAAUUGAGAGGGACAGAAAGAGUCUGAGCAGUGAGGGUAGGGAGGAGGAGGUUGGAGGGAGUCUUUAGGGGAGUUGGAAGCUAUUCAGUUGGUGCAAAAGUAAUUGUGGUGUUGGCCACUGAAAGUAACUAUGUAUUUCUAUGUAGAAAGAGCUCUGCUGGAGUCUACAGAAGGCACACACAAUGGAGAGCUCUGGCUUUAAGGAUGCCACAGGCGGAAACUGACAAAGACAUAUGGAAGAACAGAAUCAGAAGGACACAACUAAGGGGAAAUUAAAGAAUGAAAUCAAAUUUUUAAUCACAUCAGCUAAAAUAUUCUGAUAUUUCUAUCUUCUAAAUCAACAGACUCCAAAUUUUGAUGAU